rnacentral:rRNA from 1 species
UACGUAGGGGGCAAGCGUUGUCCGGAUUUACUGGGCGUAAAGAGCGUGUAGGCGGCCAAGCAGGUCCGUUGUGAAAACUGGAGGCUUAACCUCCAGACGUCGACGGAAACCGCGUGGCUAGAGUCCGGAAGAGGAGAGUGGAAUUCCUGGUGUAGCGGUGAAAUGCGCAGAUAUCAGGAAGAACACCAAUGGCGAAGGCGGCUCUCUGGGACGGUACUGACGCUGAGACGCGAAAGCGUGGGGAGCGAACAGG